rnacentral:rRNA from 1 species
GACGAACGCUGGCGGCGUGCUUAACACAUGCAAGUCGAACGGAAAGGCCUCUUUCGGGGGGUACUCGGGUGGCGAACGGGUGAGUAACACGUGAGUAACCUGCCCUUGACUUUGGGAUAACUUCAGGAAACUGGGGCUAAUACCGGAUAGGAGCUCCUGCUGCAUGGUGGGGGUUGGAAAGUUUCGGCGGUUGGGGAUGGACUCGCGGCUUAUCAGCUUGUUGGUGGGGUAGUGGCUUACCAAGGCUUUGACGGGUAGCCGGCCUGAGAGGGUGACCGGCCACAUUGGGACUGAGAUACGGCCCAGACUCCUACGGGAGGCAGCAGUGGGGAAUAUUGCACAAUGGGUGGAAGCCUGAUGCAGCAACGCCGUGUGCGGGAUGACGGCCUUCGGGUUGGAAACCGCUUUCGCUCAUGACGAAGCUUUGUGUGACGGUAGUGGGUAAAGAAGCACCGGCUAACUACGUG